CGUUCGAACUCAACGUCCAACCUCGAGGCGGAUGCAACAGGGUCGACGAAGAGAAGAGACGUACCGCCGU
rnacentral:ribozyme from 1 species